rnacentral:rRNA from 1 species
UACGUAGGGUGCAAGCGUUGUCCGGAAUUAUUGGGCGUAAAGAGCUCGUAGGCGGUCUGUCACGUCGGCUGUGAAAACCCGAGGCUCAACCUCGGGCCUGCAGUCGAUACGGGCAGACUAGAGUUCGGUAGGGGAGACUGGAAUUCCUGGUGUAGCGGUGAAAUGCGCAGAUAUCAGGAGGAACACCAAUGGCGAAGGCAGCUCGCUGGGACGGUACUGACGCUGAGACGCGAAAGCGUGGGGAGCAAACAGG